rnacentral:rRNA from 1 species
UCUGCCUUUCAGACGGGGACAACUCAGGGAAACUUGUGCUAAUACCCGAUGAGACCACAAGAAGGGAUUUUUGUGGCCAAAGGCGGGCAGCAAUGCUCGUGCUGAAAGAUGAGUCUGCGUCCUAUCAGCUAGUUGGUGGGGUAAAUGCCUACCAAGGCUAAGACGGGUAGCCGGCCUGAGAGGGUGAACGGCCACACUGGGACUGAGACACGGCCCGGACUCCUACGGGAGGCAGCAGUGAGGAAUUUUCCGCAAUGGGCGCAAGCCUGACGGAGCGACGCCGCGUGAGGGAUGACAGCUUUCGGGUUGUAAACCUCUUUUAUUAAGGAAAAAGAUCUAUAUGCUAAUAUCAUGUAGAUUUGAUGGUACUUAUUGAAUAAGCCCCGGCUAACUACGUGCCAGCAGCCGCGGGUAAUACGUAGGGGGCGAGCGUUGUCCAGAGUUACUGGGCGUAAAGAGCGUGUAGGCGGUUGAAAAAGUCAGGUGUGAAAUUCUUCGGCUCAACCGAGGGACUGCGCUUGAAACUUUUCGACUGGAGUUUGGGGAGGGGCAACCGGAAUUCCUGGUGUAACCGGUGAAAUGGUGUAGAUAUCAGGAGGAACACCCGUGGCGAAGGCGGGUUUGCUGGACCAAAACUGACGCUGAAACGCGAAAGCGUGGGUAGGCAACAGGAUUAAAUACCCUGGUAGUCCACGCUGUGAACGAUGAGUGCUA